rnacentral:miRNA from 1 species
CUCAUAUAUAUCUACCUGUGUGCAUAAUUGCAGAUAUGUAGGCAGGAGUAUGUGUAUACAUGCACUUACAUGUCAUACACACACAUGUAUA